GAUGAACGCUGGCGGCGUGCUUAACACAUGCAAGUCGAACGGAAAGGCCCAAGCUUGCUUGGGUACUCGAGUGGCGAACGGGUGCGUAACACGUGGGUGAUCUGCCCUGCACUUCGGGAUAAGCCUGGGAAACUGGGUCUACUACCGGAUAGGACCACUUCUUGGAUGUUGUGGUGGAAAGUUUUUUCGGUGUGGGAUGAGCUCGCGGCCUAUCAGCUUGUUGGUGGGGUAAUGGCCUACCAAGGCGUCGACGGGUAGCCGGCCUGGGAGGGUGUACGGCGACAUUGGGACUGAGGUACGGCCCAGACUCCGACGGGAGGCAGCAGGGGGGAAUAUUGCACAAGGGGCGCAAGCCGGAUGCAGAGACGCUGCGUGGGGGAGGACGGCCUUCGGGUUGUAAACUCCUUUCGCUAGGGACGAAGCGUGUUGUGACGGUACCUGGAGAAGAAGCACCGGCUAACUACGUG
rnacentral:rRNA from 1 species